UACGUAGGGUGCGAGCGUUGUCCGGAAUUAUUGGGCGUAAAGAGCUCGUAGGCGGCUUGUCGCGUCGACUGUGAAAUCCCGCGGCUCAACUGCGGGUCUGCAGUCGAUACGGGCAGGCGUAGAGUUCGGUAGGGGAGACUGGAAUUCCUGGUGUAGCGGUGAAAUGCGCAGAUAUCAGGAGGAACACCGGUGGCGAAGGCGGGUCUCUGGGGCAACAACUGACGCUGAGGAGCGAAAGCGUGGGGAGCGAACAGG
rnacentral:rRNA from 1 species